UUGUCCUCUUUUAGGAGACAGCCAGAUCCUGCAGGUUGCUGGUUGUUGACGUGCUCUGUGUUUGUGUUUCAGGGGCCCUGUGGGCAGUGGUGGAAGCGGCCAGCGCCGGCGCCUCGGUUCUCUGCCUGUGUGAGAAGGGAGAUGCCAAGGUCACGGAAGAGACAGGCAAGAUGUCCAAGAAGGAAAAAGAAAUGAAAACAGGGCUGGUAGGCCUUGGAACAGGUGCCCAGGGAGCUGCUGGAGUCACCAUCCCUGGAGGGGUUUGAGAGCCAGGAAAGUGCCGGGUCCUUGUUGCUGUUCCGAGGGUGGUGUUUCUCACAGAGCCUGCGGCAGCUGAUCUUCAAGAUGCUGCAGGAGAUCUGCAGCCUACUGGCAGUACCUCCUAGGCUACCUUCUGCUCCGGGGCUUCGUGGCCUUGGGGGUGUGCUCCAGGAACGGCCCAGUGGAGAACCAGCGCAGCAUCUGUCGCCUCUGCUGGGGCCUGCAGCUCCUGCUCACAGCUCAGGCAUCCAGCUCCAUUCUGUGUCCUUGCCCGUGCUGCUCACUGUCGCCUGCACCGAGAACAUCGAGCACGUGGCCUCUUGGGCUUCCGUUGCCCACAGGGGAGAACUCGCAGCGCCCCGGCUGGUUCCUGGUGCCCCUCUGGCUUUACAGAUGGGGAGAGGGGGGCACAGGAGCUGGGGGGUGUGUGGAAGCUGGGCAUGCUGGGGAGGAAGGGCAGAUAGUGCUUGUGGAUUUAAGUCUGUUUCUGGUUUUAAU